CUUGGGUGGAGGAGAGCCCUCGCCCUGCUGGAACAGCCCACCUUGUUAUCUGCAGAGCAGCAGGGACAGGUUUGCACCAGACUUGACAUCAACUCCAAGCUGGAUCAGAGCCGAGCUUACACCAGAGGCUCGGCGAAGCUCUACCUGAGGAAAGGCUGGAAGUCCCUUAACUGAAGCAAUUACAGCUCCGAGUCCAUUGCAGGUGGUGAGCAAGCUGUACAGGCUUCCCAAAAGCGGCAUACCACAGGGUCAGCACAAGGCCACCUUUGACAGCUGGGCAGAGGCAGCAGUUUUGAGCUUCUGCUGAUUUCCUACGGUAUAUUUGAACUCUGCUUUGGGAAAGAAACCAGCCUGGCACACCCCUUCGGAAAGGCUACUGAGCACUGAUCUACCAGGACUACUCUUCCAUUUGCUCCUGGAAGCUUCAGCUACUCCAGAGCACUGGGACUGGGGUGGAGGGAGGGGUUAGGGUUUUUGGUUCAUUAUAUUUUUUAACCCACUACACACCACUUAGAGUUACUUGCUGAGCGCAAGGCUUUAAUAGCAAGGAACGGGCAUGUUUCAGGCUCUCGGCUGGAACCAGUACAUCUUGCUCCUGGUUGAGGGGUUUCUUCAUUCAAGCACAAAACACAUCUGUGCAUCAACGUAAAGCCUGUGCACCACAAAUGCUCAUUUAUGGAAAAUCACAAAUCUACCCCGUUAUGGGUGGCACAAUGAACUACUGAAAUGGUCAUCAGCGUCACGGGGAGUUUCUCAGCCACUGAGUCUGGGACCAGCUCUGACUCAAAGAGAUCCCAGCAGGGAGAAUAUACUUAUAUAAUCUUGUGCCCUUCGCUUUGGACACCAUUCCUUCUGCUACGUACCACAGCUGGGUCCCAACAAAGCAAAUACAGUGGGGCUUAAGCUAAAGGGGGUAGAAGUCCACAAAGCUACAGCUUCCCACAUGGUGUAUUACUGAACUCAGUCAGUAAUACAACAGUCAUAGCUCUGAAAUGAUCUGUAAAGGUUACCACAAUAACAGCAGGAUGCCAUCUUAUUUAUUUUGCACUUGGCUUUUAAAGUUCCCUAUCUGAAAGUACAUCGGGUCUCUGUGGAGCUCUAACAUCAAUGCUGCAUUCUAUGAAGCAAGGAAAAUAUAAUACUUUUACAGUCGGUCUUUAAAUCAUUUUCUGACAACAAAUCAAUCUUACAAGAAGCCUUGUUGGUGUUAUGAGUACGAGAAGGAGAGAUUUUGAGAUUAAAGUAUAAUAAUAGUAUGC